UGCGUUUUUGGUUCUACAGUUUAAUUUGUGAAUAAUCGACAUACUAUGGGCUUUAUUAUAAUAAGUCAAAAUUUAGGGAGCUAGUAGGGUUUACAAAAGUUAGGGUCUCACAAUCACUCCGUUGCCGCCUCAUCUCUCCUUGAUUCUCCGAUUUCCCGGCGACUCUCUGGUAACGAUUCUGACCAGACCUUGAGCAGAUACUGCAAGAAUUACAACACUGCUGGCUCCAUCCUGCUGAAAUCCGUGAAGUUCUUCGGAACCAUGAAAAGUUUCACUUGACACCAAAACCACUUGCUAGGCCACCAGGUAUUCCACUAGCGGACCUUCAACCAGCAUGGAAGCGACGAAGAACAACAAGCUUGUGUUAUUGAGACAUUCUCUGAGCAGUGGAUUUGGGCCAAGCCUCUCAGACUGGAAAUAAAGGAUUCUAGCAAGUUUGUAUUCUGGAAUUGUUUGCAUUUGGAACUACUAGUCUCAGGUAUGUAACAACUAUGCAAGUUAGCUAAGAAACAUUAGUUACCAUCCAACUGAAUUAUGAUAAGUACCUUCUCAGGCCUCACAAUGCCAUGCUUCUUGUGAUACAAUGCUUUUUUGUUUUCUGUGGUGUCUUUUUAUUAUUGUAUAUUUUCAAAUGUGUGCUUGUACAUUUUUUUAUUCUUUUUCUUUUUUAAUUUUAUUCUGCACAAUGUUACUGAUAGGCAUUUUUGGGGAUUCAUUGUAUUGUCUUAUAGAAAUACGUUCAUUUUAUAUAAUUUUUGUAACAUUUUUAAUUUUUGUCUUCUAAAGAAAAUACCUAGGGGACCUACUUUCUGUAAUAUCAUUGUAUUGCAUGGGAGACUUUGGCAUUUUUAUCAAGAAUUCUUUUGCGAAUAGAAGUGAUCACAUUUUGUGGGUAUUUAACUUUGUAGGGGUGGUAUACCAACUCUUGCAAUGAAAUGAAGCCAAUCUUGAUUUAAAAAAAAAAAAAAAAAAAAAAAAUAGUAACGAACACUUGAACUCAGUUUCGUUUUAUAUUAUUUGCCUUAGAAAUAAUCAACUUCUAUGGCACAUAGUUAGUUUCUGAACAUUUCUAUUCCUUUAUGAGAAUAUCACAAGAAUAGAGAGCUCUUUUCACAUAUCAAUGGUUUUGAAGGCCUUAUGUGUUACUGUGUCCCCCUAGACCAAGUUAUCACUGGUGUCCUGUUUUCAUUUUGAAGCUCUUCUGAAUUAUCUGUUAUUUCUUGCCUUCUAAAAGAUAUUAGUGUCAUUGGUAUAUUAGGGAUGUUCUAAAGAAUAAGAAACAAGAUGAAGUCUUUUAUUAUCAUAAACUGAUCAUGAUUACUUUUUUAUCCUUAUGGUGAUUACUCAAGCAUGUGAUGCUAACUAAAAUUUCAUUUUCUACUAUUAUAGAUUAUGGUGAAGUCUUUUGAGGUUAUUGAGUUACCAGAUCUGCAAAGUUCAUUGCAUGCAAACAACGGGUUGUUGUUGCUGCUAAUGAUACAUUUAUUCGUGUAUGCAAUUACAAUACAAUGGAUAAGGUCAAAGUGUUCGACGCACACACUGAUUAUAUUAGGUGUGUGGUUGUUCAUCCUACCCUUCCAUAUGUGCUGUCUUCAUCUGAUGACAUGCUUAUAAAGCUUUGGGAUUGGGAGAAGGGCUGGGUGUGUACUCAAAUUUUUGAGGGUCAUUCCCAUUAUGUUAUGCAAGUGACAUUUAAUCCAAAAGAUACCAACACAUUUGCUAGUGCAUCUCUUGAUCGCACUAUAAAGGUAUGGAUUGAAUUGUCUAUUUCUAACUUGUUAACCACAAUUUUUUGUAUAAUUGAGUACAAAUGAUAGUCAUGCAUUGGAACUUUUUUUUUCUUUCUUAACUCUCUUUCCGGGUUUGGAAUCUUGGCUCCCCUGACCCAAAUUUUACAGUGGAUGCCCAUUUGAAAGGGGUAAAUUGUGUUGAUUACUUCACAGGUGGUGAUAAGCCUUACCUGAUAACUUGUUCUGAUGAUUUUGAAUGCCAUUUCAAUGAAACCCUGGAGAAGAAGAUGUGAUGAGUUGAGUUGUUUUGCUAUGUCCGUAGAUAUAAUUCAAAUUACAAUCUAUUCAUUGAAUAGUUGAAUGUUACAAACAAUGCAUAUGGCGCUAGCCUUACAUAUUGGAAAUGGUACUUUUGAAAUCUCUAUAUAUACAAUCAGGAUAUUACAUACUAA